rnacentral:rRNA from 1 species
UACGUAGGGUGCGAGCGUUAAUCGGAAUUACUAGGCGUAAAGCGUGCGCAGGCGGUUUUGUAAGCCAGAUGUGAAAUCCCCGGGCUUAACCUGGGAAUGGCAUUUGGGACUGCAAGGCUGGAGUUUGGCAGAGGAGACUGGAAUUCCCGGUGUAGCAGUGAAAUGCGUAGAUAUCGGGAGGAAUACCGAUGGCGAAGGCAGGUCUCUGGGCUAUAACUGACGCUCAUGCACGAAAGCGUGGGGAGCAAACAGG